ensembl:misc_RNA 7SK 7SK RNA
GGACCUGAGGGUGAUCUGGCUGUGACGUCUGUCCCUCAUUGAUCACCAGGAUUGAUUGGACUGAUCUGACUGACCAGGCAGGUGUCCCCUUCCUCCCUUGUCUCUCUGUGUGUGAAGCUGCACACUCUGUAAGACCACCCCUGAUACAGGAGGUGGUUUCCUGGGUCAAGGCUAUUCAACUAGCUCUGCUCCCCUGUUAGAACCUUCAAACAACUCCUGAGCAUCAUUGAGAGAUUUGUGGGCAUAGUGGGAGAGUAGGAGAAACUAAGUAAGAAUUUCCAUAACUGG